GACAGAGGGUGCAAACGUUGUUCGGAAUUACUGGGCGUAAAGCGAGUGUAGGCGGUUUGGUAAGUCGGAUGUGAAAGCCCCGGGCUCAACCCGGGAAGUGCACUCGAUACUGCCAAGCUAGAGUAUCGGAGAGGUUGGUGGAAUUCUCGGUGUAGAGGUGAAAUUCGUAGAUAUCGAGAGGAACACCGGUGGCGAAGGCGGCCAACUGGACGAAAGUACUGACGCUGGAGGCGCGGAAAGCCUGGGGGAGCGAACGGG
rnacentral:rRNA from 1 species